AGUGAACGCUGGCGGUAGGCCUAACACAUGCAAGUCGAACGGCAGCACAGUAAGAGCUUGCUCUUACGGGUGGCGAGUGGCGGACGGGUGAGGAAUACAUCGGAAUCUACUUUUUCGUGGGGGAUAACGUAGGGAAACAUACGCUAAUACCGCAUACGACCUACGGGUGAAAGCAGGGGAUCUUCGGACCUUGCGCGAUUGAAUGAGCCGAUGUCGGAUUAGCUAGUUGGCGGGGUAAAGGCCCACCAAGGCGACGAUCCGUAGCUGGUCUGAGAGGAUGAUCAGCCACACUGGAACUGAGACACGGUCCAGACUCCUACGGGAGGCAGCAGCGGGGAAUAUUGGACAAUGGGCGCAAGCCUGAUCCAGCAAUACCGCGUGGGUGAAGAAGGCCUUCGGGUUGUAAAGCCCUUUUGUUGGGAAAGAAAAGCAGCAGGUUAAUACCCCGCUGUUCUGACGGUACCAAAAGAAUAAGCACCGGCUAACUUCGUG
rnacentral:rRNA from 1 species